AGUGAACGCUGGCGGUAGGCCUAACACAUGCAAGUCGAACGGCAGCACAGUAAGAGCUUGCUCUUACGGGUGGCGAGUGGCGGACGGGUGAGGAAUACAUCGGAAUCUACUUUUUCGUGGGGGAUAACGUAGGGAAACUUACGCUAAUACCGCAUACGACCUACGGGUGAAAGCAGGGGAUCUUCGGACCUUGCGCGAUUGAAUGAGCCGAUGUCGGAUUAGCUAGUUGGCGGGGUAAAGGCCCACCAAGGCGACGAUCCGUAGCUGGUCUGAGAGGAUGAUCAGCCACACUGGAACUGAGACACGGUCCAGACUCCUACGGGAGGCAGCAGUGGAGAAUAUUAGACGAUGGGCGAAAGCCUGAUCCAGCCAUACCGCGUGGGUGAAGAAGGCCUUCGGGUUGUAAAGCCCUUUUGUUGGGAAAGAAAAGCAGCAGGUUAAUACCCCGCUGUUCUGACGGUACCCAAAGAAUAAGCACCGGCUAACUUCGUG
rnacentral:rRNA from 1 species